rnacentral:rRNA from 1 species
CCUACGGGAGGCAGCAGUGAGGAAUAUUGGUCAAUGGGCGCGAGCCUGAACCAGCCAAGUCGCGUGAGGGAAGACGGUCCUAUGGAUUGUAAACCUCUUUUGUCGGGGAGCAAAAGACGCCACGCGUGGCGUUCCGAGAGUACCCGAAGAAAAAGCAUCGGCUAACUCCGUGCCAGCAGCCGCGGAAAUACGGAGGAUGCGAGCGUUACCGGGAUUUAUUGGGGUUAAAGGGUGCGCAGGGGGAAGAACAAGUAAGCGGUAAAACUGGGAGGCUAAACCUCUUAGAGCUGUUGAAACUGGAUGGCUGGAGUGCAGGAGGAGCAGGCGGAAUUCGUGGUGUAGCGGUGAAAUGCGUAGAUAUUAGGAAGAACACCGGUGGCGAAGGCGGCAUGCUGG